rnacentral:lncRNA from 1 species
UGAGCAGAUGAGACACAGGAGGGGUUUAGGGUUCCCGGGCUUUAGGGUGGGGGAGAACAAUAGGAGGAAGAGAAGGUAGAAGAAGAGAGAGAAGCCACCAUGGGGCAGGCGAGUCAUGAAAAUGCCAUCCUGAGGGCUGGCCAAUUGGAGAUGAAACAUAGUCUGCUGCAGAACCAGUGUGUUCCAAGGACCCCCGAUUCAGACGGCCACACAAAGGACUGCUACGUUGGCUAUUUGAUCAUUUGCUAUGGAAGGAUCCACCCCAAAGUGGGCCACACUCUGGUGCCAGCCCACAUGCAAGGAAUGGAGAAAAGAUGUUUUCCCUUCUCGCCUGCUCGCCCUCACUCUUGUCACCAAGUUGAUCAUCCUGGUGCUGAGGCUUUCUUUCAGUGAUUAGCACUAUUUCUCUGGGACUCAGAACAGACAGAAAGAAGCUGGGACACUCAGUAUCUGCGACUGAAUAACCACCAGAUCCAAGGCCUUCCUGUUGGGGGAACAAUCUAGUGAGAUCCCACGGACUGCAAGCUUCCCUAGCAAAUCCCGUGACUGUAAGCCGGUGUAAACAUGUCACCAGCACACACACCUGAUAAAUGUCACUAUGUGAACAAAUGAAUACAUCAACAGUCAAAUGACACCUAGGGAACCAAAACUAAAACAGAUUGUGGUACCAUGAAUGGUUCAAGAGAAACAGACUUAUAAGGAUGAAAUUUUAAGUACCUGGAGUCGGCUUUCCAGUUUGCUAAUAUCUACAGUUACUGAAGCCUCUCCAAGAAGCAUAGAAAUCCCCACAGAUCUAUGGUGUGAACUCUUAGAAGAAUUUAUCAAGAUAGAUACACUCGAUUAUCCUGAUUCACCUACUAUAAGAAGCAAGGAAUUUAGUGACUCAAUAUAUAAAACUUUUGAUAAUUUGUGGAAAAAUUAGAAAAAGAAUGAUGCUGGCUGGUUGCUUCUAGCAUAUCUGGGUAAACUGACAACAAAGGAAAAGAAUGAGCCCAGUGAGAAGAAUUAACCUCGUUGUAGCAUCUUGGGAUCCAGGGCAAAGAAAAAAAAUGAAUACAAAGGAUCAGCUGGAGAUCAAAUAAACAGUCUAAAGCAGCAGCUUUCAGCCUGUGAGUUGGGACCCCAUUGAAGGCUGAGUAUCAGAAAUCCUGCAUACCAGAUAUUUACAUUACAAUUCAUAACAGUAGCAAAAUUACAGUUAUGAAGUAGCAACAAAAUAAUUUUACAGUUGGGGUCACCACAACAUGAGGAACUAAAUUAUAGGGUCACAGCAUUAGGAAGGCUGAGAGGCACUGGUCUACAGGUUUCUAAGUAUGCAAGGAGAAUCUGUUCCAUAGGAUGAUAGAAAAUUAAAUUGCAACCCUUAUUAUAAUUUUGCUGCAUUGAACCAAAACUCCAAGCCUCAGUUGUGGUGGCUGGCUGUCCAUGGUUAAAGGUAAGGAGAGGACCCUGUAACUUUGAUGGAGGUGUGGAGGGACCCUACUGUGGCUGAGGACUUCGAACCCUCAGAUUCUGCAGGAUCUAUCUCCCCAGCCUUAGCAGAGGAUGCAUCCCCAUCUCUACCAGCAGCAAUACUGUCCUUUCACCUUUGCAGAGGGAAUUGAUCCUACAGUGUCUGUAGGAUGCCCAGUGACAUUCCCUGAAGAAGAUGCCAGGAGGUGUAAAGGAGAGAAAGUGUAGUCCAUGAGGAGGUGCCCUACACUACUGAAGAGCUUAAUGAUUUAACCAAUUCAUUCAAGUAGAAGUCUGGGAAAUAUGUGUGGAAAUAGAUUUUUAUACGAAUGGGAUAAUGGGGAACAUAAAAUUGGAUCAGGUUGAGUUUUUCAAUGUGGACUGACUGACUGAAACUCUAGGUUUAAUAUGAAAGUUUUUAAAGGGUGCCAUGUUAAGACCUAGGUAGCCACUGCCUUUCCAACAUUACUGUAGCCAUUUUGUUUUAUGUUUGCAGCCAGCCAUCUUACAUUGUUACAGAGGACCUUUCUCGUGCCCAGUUAAACAUUAACUGCAUAUUUUGUUAAGUUCUUUGCUUUGGUGUUCUUGGAAAUUCCCCAGAUCCUCACCUUCCUAGAACUCACUUUGUAGACCAGGCUGGCCUUGAUCUCAGAAAUCCACCUGCCUCUGCCUC